rnacentral:rRNA from 1 species
UACGUAGGGGUGCGAGCGUUAAUCGGAAUUACUGGGCGUAAAGCGUGCGCAGGCGGUUUUGCAAGCCGGAUGUGAAAUCCCCGGGCUUAACCUGGGAAUGGCAUUUGGGACUGCAAGGCUGGAGUGCGGCAGAGGAGACUGGAAUUCCUGGUGUAGCAGUGAAAUGCGUAGAUAUCAGGAGGAACACCGAUGGCGAAGGCAGGUCUCUGGGCUGACACUGACGCUCAUGCACGAAAGCGUGGGGAGCAAACAG